AUGAACGCUAGCGACAGGCUAACACAUGCAAGUCGAGGGGUAACAGGGUAGCAAUACCGCUGACGACCGGCGCACGGGUGAGUAACGCGUAUGCAACCUGCCUAUAACUGUGGAAUAGCUCCCUGAAAGGGGGAAUUAACACCGCAUAACACUAUUGAUUCGCAUGGAUUGGUAGUUAAAUGUAGCGAUACAGGUUAUAGAUGGGCAUGCGUGACAUUAGCUAGUUGGUGAGGUAACGGCUCACCAAGGCUACGAUGUCUAGGGGUUCUGAGAGGAAGGUCCCCCCACACUGGUACUGAGACACGGACCAGACUCCUACGGGAGGCAGCAGUGAGGAAUAUUGGUCAAUGGGCGCAAGCCUGAACCAGCCAUGUCGCGUGCAGGAAGAACCUGCCCUAUGGGUUGUAAACUGCUUUUAUAGUAGAAGAAACACAUCUACGUGUAGAUGUACUGCCAGUAUACUAUGAAUAAGCAUCGGCUAACUCCGUGCCAGCCGCCGC
rnacentral:rRNA from 1 species